rnacentral:rRNA from 1 species
GCCCUUUUCCGGUUGAUCCUGCCGGAGGCCAUUGCUAUCGGAGUCCGAUUUAGCCAUGCUAGUCGCACGGGUUAGACCCGUGGCGGAAAGCUCAGUAACACGUGGCCAAACUACCCUGUGGACGAGGACAACCUCGGGAAACUGAGGCUAAUCCUCGAUACGGCUUCCCACCUGGAGUGGGGGAAGCCGGAAAUGCCCCGGCGCCACAGGAUGUGGCUGCGGCCGAUUAGGUAAACGGUGGGGUAACGGCCCACCGUGCCAGUAAUCGGUACGGGUGAUGAGAGUCAGCGCCCGGAGACGGUAUCUGAGACAAGAUACCGGGCCCUACGGGGCGCAGCAGGCGCGCAACCUUUACACUGCACGCGGGUGCGAUAGGGGGACUCCGAGUGCGAGGGCAUAUAGUCCUCGCUUUUCUGGACCGUAAGGAGGUCCAAGAAUAAGGGCUGGGCAAGACCGGUGCCAGCCGCCGCGGUAAUACCGGCAGCCCGAGUGAUGGCCGCGAUUAUUGGGCCUAAAGCGUUCGUAGCCUGCCGGACAAGUCCGUUGGGAAAUCCACGCGCUCAACGCGUGGGCGUCCAGCGGAAACUGUCCGGCUUGGGGCCGGAAGACUCGAGGGGUACGUCCGGGGUAGGAGUGAAAUCCCGUAAUCCUGGACGGACCGCCGGUAGCGAAAGCGCCUCGAGAGGACGGACCCGACGGUGAGGAACGAAAGCCAGGGUCUCGAACCGGAUUAGAUACCCGGGUAGUCCUGGCCGUAAACGAU